rnacentral:rRNA from 1 species
AUGCCGCUGAACCUCAUACCUGCGGCUAGAAUGAAGUUCACCACGUACGACAAAGCAGGUGACUUUUACAACACUUAUGCCAGCUAUGCAGGGUUUGGCAUACGCAAGAGGGCAAAACACAAGAUAAAUGCCUACAUUGUCUGCUCAAGAGAAGGGGUGCACAAGCAGACUAUGUCAGAUUAUGACCGUAAACGUGAAAAGACAUCAAAAAGGAUUGGCUGCAAGGCAAAAAUAAGAGUCAAAAAGAGGAAGGAUGGCAAAUUUGUGAUGGAAAUGGUUGAACUAAAUCACAAUCACAAGAUGCUGGAAAGCCCCGAGAUGCUUUUGCACAUACGCAAAAGAGACGAUCCUUUGAUUGACCAUACAUGGGACAUACUAGCCACGACUGGGUCAACAAAUGAAAUGAUACCAUCGUUCGAGUGGGUUUUCAAAACAUUCCUGAGGUGUAUGAACAACAAGCCGCCAAUCUGCAUGCUCACUGACCAAUGUUAUUCGAUGAAGGCAGCAUUAAAAACUAUCCUCCUAGAUACAUUACAUAAGUUGUGUCCAUGGCAUAUCGUGAAGAAGUACAAAGACCACCUCGCCUUGCUGUAUAAGGCGCAUGAGAAACUAAAGGAUGACCUCAAUGUGGUGGUGAACCAUCCACUAAUGCCGUCAGAAUUUGAACGGGCAUGGAAGGACCUCAUUCAGAAAUACAACUUGCAAAACGAUGAAGUGGACAAGUGCAUUCAGACCAGGAAGGCCGUCGAGGACACAGAGACAGUAGCAACUGAGUUGGAGGUAAAGACAACAACCCAGUUUGGGUUCGAAGUUCAGCUAUCAGAAGUGUAUACAAGGGCCGUUUUUGCAGAUUUCAAAGAAACACUCUACCGCAACACUGCAUUUAGAGUAGAACGGUGCCCUGAGAACCCGGCAAAGUACCUUGUACACCACUACAAUAGAUCGGAUGCAUUUGACUGGGCAAGUCAUAAUUUCCAAGUGGUCGCCGAUGAAGAUAAAUGUGUCUACGAAUGUGAAUGCAAACUCUGGACACACACAGGUGCGACUCGCUAG